rnacentral:rRNA from 1 species
UGGGGAAUAUUGGACAAUGGGCGAAAGCCUGAUCCAGCCAUGCCGCGUGUGUGAAGAAGGUCUUUUGGUUGUAAAGCACUUUAAGUGGGGAGGAAAAGCUUAUGGUUAAUACCCAUAAGCCCUGACGUUACCCACAGAAUAAGCACUGGCUAACUCUGUGCCAGCAGCCGCGGUAAUACAGAGGGUGCAAGCGUUAAUCGGAAUUACUGGGCGUAAAGCGCGCGUAGGUGGUUAUUUAAGUCAGAUGUGAAAGCCCCGGGCUUAACCUGGGAACUGCAUCUGAUACUGGAUAACUAGAGUAGGUGAGAGGGGAGUAGAAUUCCAGGUGUAGCGGUGAAAUGCGUAGAGAUCUGGAGGAAUACCGAUGGCGAAGGCAGCUCCCUGGCAUCAUACUGACACUGAGGUGCGAAAGCGUGGGUAGCAAACAGGAUUAGAUACCCUGGUAGUCCACGCCGUAAACGAUGUCUACCAGUCGUUGGGUCUUUUAAAGACUUAGUGACGCAGUUAACGCAAUAAGUAGACCGCCUGGGGAGUACGGCCGCAAGGUUA